rnacentral:rRNA from 1 species
UACGUAGGGGGCAAGCGUUGUCCGGAAUCAUUGGGCGUAAAGCGCGUGUUAGGCGGCCCGAUAAGUCCGCUGUGAAAGUCCAGGGCUCAACCCUGGGAUGCCCGGUGGAUACUGUCGGGCUCGAGUCCGGAAGAGGCGAGUGGAAUUCCUGGUGUAGCGGUGAAAUGCGCAGAUAUCAGGAGGAACACCAAUGGCGAAGGCAGCUCGCUGGGACGUGACUGACGCUGAGACGCGAAAGCGUGGGGAGCAAACAGG